AAUUUUCCCUCGUCUGCUCGUCAACUAACUGACAACAGCAUUUAGGAUCAAAAACUCGGACACAUAAGCUCUGUGAGGACACAGGGAGAGAAGUAAGUAUGAGCUGGUAGACACAAACUGUCAAGUGCACAUUAAUAAACAUUGGUGGGGCUUCAAAUGGGUGUGGGGAGCACCUCCCUGUGUCCACCCCUCAUCAUUCUCCUCCUCUCGUUAUAUUCCACAGCUCCUGUGCUGUACUCAAAAGCCUGAACGCACACAGAGCUGAAACAGAGGAGACAGAAGUGUGAAAACAAACCCACACUACAGAAGCAAAAUCCAAACCUACUCAGAGAAGAAAGUCAAAAGCUAAAGGAAGCCGGAGGUUAGUCCAUCUUCCUGUUUCUGCUCAGCACAGAGGAGACUCACAGAGGAGGAACGAUUCCCCUAGACGCAGAGAUAGGCUCUGAUGAGGAGAGGAGGAGAGAAGGAGGCGUUGGAUAGCCAGCAGUAACAAUGGCCACUCCAGACUUGUUGGACCCUAAAUCUGCCACUCACAACACCAAGCCCCUCCUCUCCUUCUCUGCCAAGUCGGUCGCGCUGAGCCCUCGUGAGGAGAGUCAGGUGGUUGCCACGGUGAUGAAGAGAAAAACUGUGACAGCCAUCUUUCUUCUGGUGGUGCUGUACCUGGUGAUUGGAGCAGCAGUGUUCAGAUCUCUGGAGCAGCCACAUGAAAGUGCCCAACGUUUUGCCAUUCUGUCCCAGAAGCUGAAGUUUCUGUCCAAACACUCCUGUGUCAACCAGAGUCAGCUGGAGGAGAUAGUUAAGAAUGUUGUCUCUGCCAUGCGCUCUGGAGUAAACCCUGUAGGGACUCUCACAAAUCACAGCAGCCUGUGGGACCUGAGCUCUGCUUUUUUCUUUGCUGGGACUGUCAUCACAACCAUUGGUUUUGGGAAUAUUUCUCCGCACACUGAAGGAGGGAAAAUAUUCUGCAUCGUCUACGCACUUCUAGGGAUCCCUCUGUUUGGUUUCCUUCUCGCUGGUGUGGGAGAUCAACUCGGUACCAUCUUCGGCAAGGGGAUUGCCAGAGUCGAGAAAAUGUUUGUGCAGCGCGACAUCAGUCAGACGAAGAUCCGGGUCAUAUCCACGCUGCUUUUUGUGCUGUUUGGCUGCCUGCUGUUUGUGGCUCUCCCAGCUGCAAUCUUCAAGCACAUUGAAGGCUGGUCUGCUCUGGAGUCCCUCUACUUUGUGGUCAUCACUUUGACCACUAUUGGAUUUGGAGAUUUUGUAGCAGGUGGGUCAGAAAUAGAGUACCUGGAUUAUUAUAAGCCUGUAGUGUGGUUUUGGAUCCUGGUGGGUCUGGCGUAUUUUGCUGCUAUCCUGAGUAUGAUAGGAGACUGGUUAAGAGUCAUCUCUAAACGGACCAAAGAAGAGGUGGGGGAGAUUCGAGCCCAUGCUGCGGAGUGGAAGGCCAACGUCUCAGCAGAGUUCAAGGAAACCCGCCGUCGAGUCAGCGUGGAGAUCUAUGAUAAGUUCCAGCGUGCCGCUUCCAUAAAGCGCAAACUGUCCUCAGAGCUGGGGUUCAGCUCGGCCCCUGAGCUGACUCUGCCGAGGCAGACCUCCUUGGUCAACUUCAAUGACGAGUGGGAAAGGAACGAGAAGGACGCCGGACAGCAAAACUCAACGCCUCCAGCCAGAAAUGGCGGCUUGCUCCUGAAUGGUCACAACCCAGAGCGAGGAGACAUUUCAAUCAUUUAGCAUCUCAAAAAGAACUCCUCCUGUGGCCUUUAUACACGUCUACAUCAACCAUCGAGCCCAUCAAAGUGAUCUCAAUUUUCUUCAAUCAGUGGACGUUUCUGAACUUCCCACAGCAACUCCUCCUCAGAGACAGGAGUUCUCUUCAGAAAUGUUGACAGUAGCUUCAUCAGAAGCAAAGGUCCACCAUAAACUACACUGAUAAAGGUGGCAGUGCCUCGCCUUCCUAUUUCUGGAGUUUUGACAUCAAUACAAAAACUUUGCACAUAAAUGUUCCUGUGGUCUAAUGCCCUUUUCAAAUUGCUGUGAGACAAAGACUGAGAAACGUGUGAUCUGGAUUGCAGCCUCUCUAGUUUUUCUUCAUGAUCAUCUGACUUGAUGUUAGAUAAACAGUGCAAAUGUGGAACAAGAAGGGGCUUCGGUGAUCAAUCAAUUUGUACUCAUAAAUAUGGUGUGACUGGUUCUUGCAGUGGUUGUAAAAAAUUUUGCUGCCAUAUUCAUAAAGAAAUGACAGAAAAAUGCUCCCCAGGUUUUGUUCAUCAAUGGAACUUUAUCACCUUUAGGACUUGAACAGUUGGAAAUUUCCUCUGAUGAUAUCUGACUUCAGUUCCUUUUUCUACCUGCAGAUCAUGAUCUAGUCAUUUUUUAUGUGUUGUUUGUUAUUCUGAAGUUUUAAGAGGGUUGUGAAGUUUUAUAAAAGUGUCUCAGAGUCAAAAUGCUUAACUUUGCCAGGACUGUUGUCUGAACACUUGGAAGCUUUGUGGGUGAAGUUUUGUCAAAAAUGUGUUCACACACGCACCUGCCAGGUUUCAUUUCACGUCAGGAUGUGACUUGAAGUUGAAAGCACCUUACUGCAAGCACUAAAACUGUGUCUGCGAUCAUGGGGAUGCUGAAAAUUUACUAACUCUGAUAAUGUUUAGAUUUGGUGAUAGAUGAGUGGAUGGGUGCUUUUUUUUAAAAAAAAAAUCAUUCAUAAUACUUGAUGUUGUGCUCUUACAGUGGAACCAAAGGUCCUUAUAGAAGCUUGAAUCAAUCUGGUGAAUGUAUUGAAAAAAACUGUGAUGCUAUUUUGCCAACAUUAUAUUGAAGCUGUAAGAAAUACGUGAUACAAGACUUUUUAUAUGCUCUUGUUUGUCAAAAUUCCUGAAAAAAUCCUCAAUAAUUGAUUGAAAAGUGUUUUUUUCCAAUUUGUUUAU